rnacentral:snoRNA from 1 species
CUCCUGUGAUGAUCCAGCCAUGCUAAUACCGAUGCAUCAGGCAGAUGUACUUCGUCUGCCUGGAUGUAAGUGAGUUCAACUCACCUUCUUACUGACGGCGUCAGUGUGUGCUGAGGAGA